rnacentral:rRNA from 1 species
UGGCGGCGUGCCUAAUACAUGCAGUCGAGCGAACAGAGAAGGAGCUUGGUCCUUUGACGUUAGCGGCGGACGGGUGAGUAACACGUGGGCAACCUACCUUAUAGUUUGGGAUAACUCCGGGAAACCGGGGCUAAUACCGAAUAAUCUGUUUCACCUCAUGGUGAAAUAUUGAAAGACGGUUUCGGCUGUCGCUAUAGGAUGGGCCCGCGGCGCAUUAGCUAGUUGGUGAGGUAACGGCUCACCAAGGCGACGAUGCGUAGCCGACCUGAGAGGGUGAUCGGCCACACUGGGACUGAGACACGGCCCAGACUCCUACGGGAGGCAGCAGUAGGGAAUCUUCCACAAUGGGCGAAAGCCUGAUGGAGCAACGCCGCGUGAGUGAAGAAGGAUUUCGGUUCGUAAAACUCUGUUGUAAGGGAAGAACAAGUACAGUAGUAACUGGCUGUACCUUGACGGUACCUUAUUAGAAAGCCACGGCUAACUACGUGCCA